GAGAAUAUAGCUUAGUGGUAGAGCACGUGCUUAGCAUGCGCAAGGUCCUGGGUUCAAUCCCAAGUACCUCCA
rnacentral:tRNA from 1 species